rnacentral:rRNA from 1 species
UGGUAGUGACGAAAAAUAACAAUGCGGGACUCUUCCGAGUCUACGUAAUUGGAAUGAGCACACUUUAAAUCCUAUAGCAACAACCCAUUGGAGGGCAAGUCUGGUGCCAGCAGCCGCGGUAAUUCCAGCUCCAAUAGCAUAUAUUAAAGUUGUUGCGGUUAAAAAGCUCGUAGUUCGAGUUCCGUUCCGGACUGGUUGGGGAGGUCACCGCCCGGUGCCUGCCCGCCAGCCUCCGAACAGGUCUAAGCCCCGCCGGUUCUACGCCGGGGUGCUCUUUACCGAGUGUCCCGCGCGGCCGGCAAGUUUACCUUGAAUAAAUAAGAGUGCUCAAGGCAGGCUACUCUUCAAACAUAUGCCCGAAAGAUAACUGCAUGGAAUAAUGAAAGAUGAUCUCGGUCUCAUUUCUGAUUGGCUCUGGGGACCGAGAUAAUGAUAAAAAGAGACUGUCGGGGGCAUCCGUACUACGACGCGAGAGGUGAAAUUCUAUGACCGUCGUAGGACGAACAACAGCGAAAGCAUUUGCCAAGAAUGUCUUCAUUGAUCAAGAACGAAAGUUAGAGGAUCGAAGGCGAUCAGAUACCGCCCUAGUUCUAACCCUAAACGAUGCUGACUAGCAAUCCGCCGUCGUUAUUCCCAUGACGUGGCGGGCCGCUCCCGGGAAACCUCAAGUCUUUGAGUUCCGGGGGUAGUAUGGUUGCAAAACUGAAACUUAAAGGAAUUGACGGAAGGGCACCACCAGGAGUGGAGCCUGCGGCUUAAUUUGACUCAACACGGGAAACCUCACCAGGCCCAGACACUAGCAGGAUUGACAGAUUAAGAGCUCUUUCUCGAUUUGGUGGGUGGUGGUGCAUGGCCGUUCUU